rnacentral:rRNA from 1 species
UACAUAGGGAGCAAGCGUUAUCCGGAAUUACUGGGCGUAAAGGGCGCGUAGGCGGUAGCUUAAGCUAGAUGUGAAAGACCAUGGCUCAACCAAGGAACGGCAUUUAGAACUGGGUUACUAGAGGACGAGAGAGGAAAGUGGAAUUCCUAGUGUAGCGGUGGAAUGCGUAGAUAUUAGGAGGAACACCAGUGGCGAAGGCGACUUUCUGGCUCGUACCUGACGCUGAGGCGCGAAAGCGUGGGGAGCAAACAGG